GCCUAAACAUGUGGUCUACUCCGCUAACCAGCACCUCGCCUAAACAGGUGGUCUACUCCGCUAACCAGCACCUCGCCUAAACAGGUGUUCUACUCCGCUAGCCAGCACCUCGCCUAAACAGGUGUUCUACUCCGCUAGCCAGCACCUCGCCUAAACAGGUGUUCUACUCCGCCAGCCAGCACCUCGCCUAAACAGGUGGUCUACUCCGCUAACCAGCACCUCGCCUAAACAGGUGUUCUACUCCGCUAGCCAGCACCUCGUCUAAACAGGUGUUCUACUCCGCCAGCCAGCACCUCGCCUAAACAGGUGUUCUACUCUGCCAGCCAGCACCUCGCCUAAACAGGUGUUCUACUCCGCCAGCCAGCACCUCGCCUAAACAGGUGUUCUACUCCGCCAGCCAGCACCUCGCCUAAACAGGUGUUCUACUCCGCCAGCCAGCACCUCGCCUAAACAGGUGUUCUACUCCGCCAGCCAGCACCUCGCCUAAACAGGUGUUCUACUCCGCCAGCCAGCACCUCGCCUAAACAGGUGUUCUACUCCGCCAGCCAGCACCUCGCCUAAACAGGUGUUCUACUCCGCCAGCCAGCACCUCGCCUAAACAGGUGUUCUACUCCGCCAGCCAGCACCUCGCCUAAACAGGUGUUCUACUCCGCCAGCCAGCACCUCGCCUAAACAGGUGUUCUACUCCGCCAGCCAGCACCUCGCCUAAACAGGUGUUCUACUCCGCCAGCCAGCACCUCGCCUAAACAGGUGUUCUACUCCGCCAGCCAGCACCUCACCUAAACAGGUGUUCUACUCCGCCAGCCAGCACCUCACCUAAACAGGUGUUCUACUCCGCCAGCCAGCACCUCGCCUAAACAGGUGUUCUACUCCGCCAGCCAGCACCUCGCCUAAACAGGUGUUCUACUCCGCCAGCCAGCACCUCGCCUAAACAGGUGUUCUACUCCGCCAGCCAGCACCUCGCCUAAACAGGUGUUCUACUCCG